GUGUAGAGAAUCAGAUGUGACUGUGUUACUAUUACUGCCCUUGAUGGAGUCUGCCUGCAAACGGGAUAUUCUGUCAAGGUAUAGAUAGAUAACAGCGGACAUGCUUGAAAACAAGGUGUCUGCUGUCCUUGGGAGGACUUGCCUGCAAACGGGAUGUUCUGCCAAGUGGGCUAGGAGGGCACUGAGAAAAAUUUUAUUAUCUGUUCUUAACAAAGAGCAGAGCUCAACAUACUCCGGGCCGAAAGUAGAUUAGCCAUGAGAAGCGGGUCACUUCUGAUUAGAAAGUAAAACUUCUGUAUGCUAUGUUUAAUUAGCUGAAAGACCUGAUUUAUUGAUGUUGGAAGGCUGCCUUCUUUGUUCACAAUACUAUAAAAAGAUUGCUU
rnacentral:lncRNA from 1 species